CCUGGCAGCUCAGUGGUAAAGCAUCUGCUUGCAAUGCAGGAGACGCAAGAGUCUCAGGUUCGAUACCUGGGUCAGGA
rnacentral:tRNA from 1 species